rnacentral:rRNA from 1 species
UGCCAGCCGCCGCGGUAACACGGGGGGCGCAAGCGUUAUUCGGAAUUACUGGGCAUAAAGAGCACGUAGGCGGCUCGUCAAGUCACGCGUGAAAUCCCCCGGCUCAACCGGGGAACUGCGUGUGAUACUGAUGGGCUAGAGGACGGUAGGGGUGAGCGGAACUCCAGGUGGAGCGGUGAAAUGCGUAGAUAUCUGGAGGAACACCGGUGGCGAAAGCGGCUCACUGGACCGUAACUGACGCUGAGGUGCGAAAGCUAGGGUAGCAAACGGGAUUAGAUA